CCGCCCCUGGUCCCCUCCCUCUCCCCAGGCCCCUCCUGCUGGCAGCCCGACUGCCCAACCCUGGCCAGAGCCAGUCCCAGACAGUGAGUGGCCUCCAGGACUGCGGAUACCAGAUGAAAAUGAGGGCCCAUCAUCCCCACUGUGAUGACUUUGGACUUCCCAGCCUGGCUCCAGGCCUACCAAUGUCCCUCGCCAUACUCAACAGGCACCAGCCCCGUCCUAGGUGCUGCAGCCAACCUCGCUCCAUGCCCAUGUUGGUAAGACCAGAUGCCCUGUGUCCGGAUUAUCUGCUUUUUCAUUCUUUUGUCCCCAUCAGCUGUCACUCCACCUGUCAGCAUGCCUGUCCCCAACAGUCUCACUUCCUUCUAAUGAGCAGUUUCUGCCAAAGGCUAGAGAACCAGAUAACCGAGCCUGAUACAACAAAGUCCAGAGCAGAGCAAGUGGAAUACCAGAGAGCUACUCUCCUACAACUAGAUCCUGGUCAUUCUGUCUCUGAGUUGACUUGUGUUACUGAUGGAGAUCAUCUCAAAGCACUUUCUUCCCUCGGUGACAAGGGCAGACCUCUUCAUUCAGAGAAGAAACCUGAGACCUGACAACCCACUCCUUGUCACACAAAGCCACCACCAGUCCCCCUGCUGCCCAAAGGUUGGUGCUGCCUCAGGCCUCAGUAGGUCUUAAGUAAGCCCAACCUAUAACCCCAGGGGGCUGGGCAGUCACUCCCACAGCCAACCAGACCACCCCUAGGCCCCUGGGUCUGCCUCCUGGCACUUCCCCUUCCCCUUUCUCCCCUCUUUUCCCCAGCUCCCCUCGUGCUCUCACUUUCUCAGGCAGAUAUUCCCACAGUCCCCUGCCCUCAUCACCACCAAUGACUUAGAAAUGCUUCUCUCUUCCCAGGGUCUGGGAUUGAGACCCAUAUCGGGCUCCUUGUGGGGAGCCUGCUUUUCCUCUGCCUGUGUCUCUACCUCUCUCCCUCAUGAACAAAUAAAACCUUAAAAAAAAAAAAAAAAGGAAAAGAAAUGCCUCUCUCCCUUGCCCAACUUUCCAUCUGUCAAGGUCCACAAGUGUCACCUCCCUCAUGAAGUCUUCCCCAGACCCCAAGGCCUGCACAGAGGCAUACUGCAAAGAGCACACCUUCGCAGUCAGGCACCCCAGUCCUGGAUCUCAGCUCUGCAUCUAUCUUGCUGCCUGACCUAAGGGAAAGUUACUCAGCUUCUUAGGGUGUCCAAUUUUUUUGCCUUAUAAUACCUAUUACUACCUUCUGGGGUUGUUGUGAGAAUUUAAAAAAGACAGUAUAUGUAAAGUACCUGGCAUUAGGCCUGGCAAAUUGUAGGUAGUGAUUAAAUUAUUAUCAAAAACCACAGUCCUGGGCAGCCCCGAUGGCCCAGCAGUUUGGCGCCGCCUUCAGCCUGGGGUAUGAUCCUGGAGA